rnacentral:lncRNA from 1 species
CUCCUCGUCUUAAAGCAGCAAGAGAUGAGCUGAGAGUUAUGCAGAAGAAAAAAAAGAGAGAGUUUUUGAGGAAUGGCCCGCCGGAAACCUCCGGAAAGGGGACAAAGAAGACAGGCCGGGGUAGUCAUUUGUGUUAAAAGUGGAAAGUGGCACUCCAGUCUGCUUAACUGUUGGGGGACGACUGCAGCUUCCAGCAGGUGAUCAAAUUGACCGAAAGGUUUGUUCAAGACCACACACCUUCCAAGUGGUGGUGCUGGGACCAGGCUCAGCUCUUCUGGUGGCACUGGUAACAUUACACAACUCCCUCAGUAGACUGCCAGAUCCGGUCUCCAGCUGGAACCUUCAACACAAAUGUGAACGCUGCAGAGAGGAACGUCGUGGUAAUGUGGCUACGAGAGUUACUGAUCAUUUACGUGUAUCCAGUGUGUUAAAUGUUUGGCCCCAAACUUCCCUGAGUCUUAUUCAAUCAACACAAUUUCCUCAAGAUGACCUUGUUAUCAUCUCCAUUUUUAUAGAAAAAAAAAAAGCAAUCAAGUACAGAGACACAAAGAAGUUAAAUAUACACAUAACCGCAAGGUCAUUAGAAGGUCAUUGUUUCCAACUUUAAAAGCAAUCUCUCAUUUUAAAUAUCUCUCAUUAGUGCCUAAUUGUCAUGCCACGUUAAAAACACUCAGGCAAUGUUAUGCAUACAUAUUCUUCCCCCUUCUGCAAUUAAUAUCAAAAGACUUUAAUUUCUCAGAUGACUAUUUUUUUAUUGUUUCAUUUGUGACUUUAUUAAAGACAUUAAUGCUGUAGUCACCACUGGAAAAUCAGAAGCAAGGUCAAGUCUGGAGAAACCAUCCUGGAAGCAGACCUU